rnacentral:rRNA from 2 species
GAAGACUAACAGGGAUUCCCUCAGUUAAUGGCGAAUGAACAGGGAAAAGCUCAAAUUUAAAAUCCGAAAGGAAUUGUAGUUUAAAAAAAUAUCGUCAGUGACAGAUCUGGAUUAAGUAGCCUGGAAAGGCUCUACAGAGAGGGUAACAUACCCGUAUUAAGCCAAGAAAGCUGAUCACAUUGUACUUUAUUUUAAAGAGUCAGGUUGCUUGGGACUGCAGCCUAAAAUGGGAGGUAAAUUUCUUCUAAAGCUAAAUAUUGGCAAGAGACCGAUAGCGAACAAGUACCGUGAGGGAAAGAUGAAAUAGAACCUUGAAAAGGGGUUUAAAAGGAAGUGAAAUUGUUAAAAGGGAAACGCUUAAACAUCGAGACAGAUAAGUUGAUUUAAGAUUUUAAAUCCUAUAAUCAAUUUAUUGGCGGCUAACGGGUGUUUUUAUUAAUGGAGAAGGGUUUAAUGAAGGUAUGUUGGGGUUAAACUUAACGACUUAUAGCAUUAAAUUUCUACAUUAAUUGAGACAUUUUUAAUUUUUAUAACUCUGAAAUAUUCAGGUGAAGCAAUAAAUUGGCAGUUUUAGGACUCUCUUUUUAUUUGAUUUCAUCAAAAUGUUUUAAAGGUAUUUGAAUAGUUUGGCCUUGAGAUAUUUAAGCGACCCGUCUUGAAACACGGACCAAGGAGUCUAACAUGUUUGCGAGUAUUAUGGUGGUAAACCAAGUAUGCGUAAUGAAAGUGAGUUCAAGGUAGGACCCUUUUAGGGGCACUAUCAACCGAUCUAUUAGGUUUUUAUCUAUAGAAUUGAGUUAGAGCUAAUAUGUUGGGACCCGAAAGAUGGUGAACUAUGCCUGAAUAGGGCGAAGCCAGAGGAAACUCUGGUGGAGGCUCGUAGCGAUUCUGACGUGCAAAUCGAUCGUCAAAUUUGGGUAUAGGGGGCGAAAGACUAAUCGAC